rnacentral:rRNA from 1 species
AUAUUGGUCAAUGGCCGGAAGGCUGAACCAGCCAUGCCGCGUGAAGGUCAGUGCCCUAUGGGCGUUAAACUUCUUUUGUGCGGGAGCAAUAAGGUCCACGUGUGGGCCGACGAGAGUACCGUACGAAUAAGCAUCGGCUAACUCCGUGCCAGCAGCCGCGGUAAUACGGGGGAUGCAAGCGUUAUCCGGAUUUAUUGGGUUUAAAGGGUGCGUAGGCGGGCUGUUAAGUCAGCGGUCAAAUGUCGGGGCUCAACCCCGGCCUGCCGUUGAAACUGUCGGACUAGAGACGGCGAGAAGUACGCGGAAUGCGCGGUGUAGCGGUGAAAUGCAUAGAUAUCGCGCAGAACUCCGAUUGCGAAGGCAGCGUACCGGCGCCGGCCUGACGCUGAGGCACGAAAGCGUGGGUAUCGAACAG